CCUGGGUAUUCAUGGAAUUCAGAAACAAUGUACAUGUAUGAUUGCACUAUUAAUAUGCACUGCAACUACGAAAUUUUGUUAUUCCAAAUUCACAAUUGAUUAUGAUAAUCCAAGGUAAUUAGUCCUCCAGUAAUGUGGUCCUCCUUUAAUACAAUUUGUAAGUUUCCUAUUUGUACAAGGCACAAUUUUCUUCUUGUCCAAUUUAAUCAGAACAUCACAUCAUCAUCAUCAUGGAAUAAUGCUGCACGCCAUAUUCAUAAUUUCCAAAAACAAUAGAUAACUAGCAUUAAAUAAUGAAUUAAUCCAUUGUUUC
rnacentral:lncRNA from 1 species